rnacentral:miRNA from 14 species
GAAUACUUUACUUUUCAUAAAAGAAUGAUGAGUAACUUAUUUUAAUUCCAACAACUUAUCAGAAUUUUAUCAUGAGAUAAUUAGUGAAUCUCUGUGGGCUAAAAAGAUUCAUGAUUCCCUGUUUUAUUACAAGAUAAUAUAUA